CCUUGGAUCAGGAUGGAACUGUGGUUUUGGUCAAGUCCAGCUCCACGUGGUAGAAGGCCGGGUUGGCGUUGCCGGUUUUCUCCGCUCUGUCGAUUGUCGGGUCGCGUCGACCUGUCCACCACGUGACCUUAGAGGCGAGGAGCGAAGGUCAAAAGUUCAUGUCAACAGUUCAAAAACUCAUUUGUACAGAGGUCAGCUCUGACGACACCUCCUGACCGCAGCCUCCUGACCACAAACACAGGAAACCAUGUUUACGUUCAUGUGGAGGACAUGAAGAAUGAGACAAAAAAAAA